GACAGAGGUGCCGAGCGUUAGGCGGAAUCACUGGGCUUAAAGCGUGUGUAGGCGGACCGUUAAGUACCUUGUGAAAUCCCCCGGCUCAACCGGGGAACGGCUGGGUAUACUGGCGGUCUUGAGCCAUCCAGGGGCAGUCGGAACAGACGGUGGAGCGGUGAAAUGCGUAGAUAUCGUCUGGAACGCCGAAGGUGAAAACAGAACUGCUGGGGAUGCGCUGACGCUGAGACACGAAAGCCAGGGGAGC
rnacentral:rRNA from 1 species